rnacentral:rRNA from 1 species
GGGCCCGCACAAGCGGUGGAGCAUGUGGUUUAAUUCGAUGCAACGCGCAGAACCUUACCAUCCUUGACUUCCCUGUCGCGGGCUCAGAGAUGAGCCUUUCAGUUCGGCUGGACAGGUGACAGGUGCUGCAUGGCUGUCGUCAGCUCGUGUCGUGAGAUGUUCGGUUAAGUCCGGCAACGAGCGCAACCCCCUGUCUUUAUUUUGCCAUCAUUUAGUUGGGGAACUCUAAAGAGACUGCCCGGUGAUAAGCCGGAGGAAGGUGGGGACGACGUCAAGUCCUCAUGGCCCUUACGGGAUGGGCUACACACGUGCUACAAUGGCAGUGACAAUGGGU